UUAACUCAAAUUUGUGUGAAGACGGAACGUUUGCCUACGUUUGCCGCUAGGGGCGCUGUUCCAACUGGAUACAAAUUUGAGUUA
rfam:Bombyx mori DNA, contig: Bm_scaf54_contig27548, strain: p50T/Dazao, build 2, whole genome shotgun sequence.